UUUAAGUGUGUGACGAGCGGUGAAUGCAUCUCUCUGGGAUUCGUCUGUGAUGGAGAGGAAGACUGUGUCGAUGGUUCAGAUGAAAAAAGAACCUGUGGUGGACGGACGUGCAGCCCAGACCAGUACACCUGCCAAGAGGGCCAAUGUGUCCCGGGAAAAUACAGGUGUGACCACGUGAAGGACUGCGUAGACAACUCCGAUGAAAAAAACUGCAACUAUCCCCGUUGCACUGAGAAGACUUGUGCCAACGGGGCCUGUUACAACCACUCGCAGCAUUGCAAUGGACUGCAGGACUGCCGAGACGGCUCCGAUGAAUUCA